rnacentral:rRNA from 1 species
AUGAGUAGCAUAGGAACUGGGUAUGAUCUGUCCGUCACCACUUUCUCCCCGGACGGACGUGUCUUCCAGGUCGAGUAUGCUGGCAAGGCCGUCGACAAUAGCGGGACGAUCGUUGGGAUCAAAUGCAAAGAUGGAAUUGUCCUUGGUGUGGAGAAGCUGAUAACCUCAAAGAUGAUACUUGCCGGGUCGAACCGGAGACUUCAUUCUGUGCACCGGAACUCUGGCUUGGCUGUGGCUGGAUUAGCAGCAGACGGUAGGCAGAUAGUCUCAAGAGCAAAGUCAGAAGCAGCCAAUUAUGAAAAGGUAUACGGAGAACCCAUGCCUGUAAAGGAAUUAGCUGAUCGCGUUGCUAGCUAUGUUCAUCUGUGUACACUCUACUGGUGGCUCAGGCCUUUUGGCUGUGGAGUUAUUCUUGGAGGCUAUGAUAGGGAUGGGCCACAGCUCUACAUGAUCGAACCUUCAGGCCUCUCCUAUAAAUAUUUUGGUGCUGCUCUGGGUAAAGGAAGACAAGCUGCAAAGACGGAGAUUGAGAAAUUGAAGCUUUCUGAGCUAACCUGCAGGGAAGGCAUCGUUGAGGUUGCCAAGAUAAUUUAUGGUGUACACGACGAAGCGAAAGACAAAUCUUUUGAGCUGGAACUGAGCUGGGUAUGCGAGGAAUCUAACCGUCAGCACGAGAAGGUUCCGAGUGAUCUUCUGGAGCAGGCCAAGGCAGCAGCGCAGGCAGCGUUGGAAGAGAUGGAUGCUGACUAA